rnacentral:rRNA from 1 species
UACGGAGGGGGCUAGCGUUGUUCGGAAUUACUGGGCGUAAAGCGCGCGUAGGCGGCUUUGCAAGUCAGAGGUGAAAGCCCGGGGCUCAACCCCGGAAUUGCCUUUGAGGCUGCAUCGCUAGAACGUCGGAGAGGUAAGUGGAAUUCCGAGUGUAGAGGUGAAAUUCGUAGAUAUUCGGAAGAACACCAGUGGCGAAGGCGACUUACUGGACGACUGUUGACGCUGAGGUGCGAAAGCGUGGGGAGCAAACAGG